rnacentral:rRNA from 1 species
CCUACGGGGGGCUGCAGUGGGGAAUAUUGCACAAUGGGCGCAAGCCUGAUGCAGCCAUGCCGCGUGUGUGAAGAAGGCCUUCGGGUUGUAAAGCACUUUCAGCGGGGAGGAAGGCGGUGAGGUUAAUAACCUCAUCGAUUGACGUUACCCGCAGAAGAAGCACCGGCUAACUCCGUGCCAGCAGCCGCGGUAAUACGGAGGGUGCAAGCGUUAAUCGGAAUUACUGGGCGUAAAGCGCACGCAGGCGGUCUGUCAAGUCGGAUGUGAAAUCCCCGGGCUCGACCUGGGAACUGCAUUCGAAACUGGCAGGCUAGAGUCUUGUAGAGGGGGGUAGAAUUCCAGGUGUAGCGGGAAAUGCGUAGAGAUCUGGAGGAAUACCGGUGGCGAAGGCGGCCCCCUGGACAAAGACUGACGCUCAGGUGCGAAAGCGUGGGGAGCAAACAGGAUUAGAUACCCUAGUAGUC